UACGUAGGUGGCAAGCGUUGUCCGGAAUUACUGGGUGUAUAGGGAGCGCAGGCGGGAAGCCAAGUCAGCUGUGAAAACUACGGGCUUAACUUGUAGACUGCAGUUGAAACUGGUUUUCUUGAGUGAAGUAGAGGUUGGCGGAAUUCCGAGUGUAGCGGUGAAAUGCGUAGAUAUUCGGAGGAACACCGGUGGCGAAGGCGGCCAACUGGGCUUUAACUGACGCUGAGGCUCGAAAGUGUGGGGAGCAAACAGG
rnacentral:rRNA from 1 species